CAGCUGGUGACCUGAGAGGGCAGUGGCGCACCAGUCUCCAUGAAGGUUGAGCUCCGAUGGCCAACAGCCAUUUCCACCUUGUGGUCUACAACUCUUCAUCCCGACUGCAUGGAGGUUGGUCUCUCUCUUCAGCUGGAUUUAGGCCACCAUCUGAGCCCCCGGGGUACGUUUUGUCUGACCCUGGCGCCAUUCGAACGGUUCUUCUACAGCAUCAGUUCUCUUUCCUGCCACCAUGUGAAGAAGGACAUGUUUGCUUCCCCUUCUGCCAUGAAUGGACAGGGUCCUGCUGUGUUGCCCAGGCUGGCCUUGAACUCCUGGCUUCAAACAGUCUUCCCACUUGGGCUCCCAAAGUGCUGGGAUUAAAGGGGCGAGUUACAGCACCAGGACCUGAAAUUUCUGGAGUAAGAAGUCCAAAACCAGUUUCACUGGUCCAAAAUCAAGAUGGCUCCAGGGGAGAACUUGCUUUCAUGUCUUUUCCAGCUUCUAGAACUUCACUCCUUCCAUUCCUUGGCUCUUGGCCCCUUCUGAAACAAGCAUGUGCUAUUUUUGUAAUUAAAAUAAAGAUGAGGAGUAGUAAA
rnacentral:lncRNA from 1 species